GUUGAACCAUACAUGCCAUUCACAACAAUGAUCCCACUCCAGGGGUUAGCUUUUGGGUCACUGUGACCAAACGACCUGACAAGAACAACUCUGAGGAAGAAAAAUUUAUACUGACUCAAGGUUUUAGAAGUUCAAUCCAUGGUUAACAGACUAUAUAGCUCUGGGCCCAAGGUGAGGCAGAACAUCAUGGCAGAAGGGCAGAGCAGAGGAAAGCAAUUUGAAAUAUGACAGACAGGAAGCAGAAAGCAAGCUCAGCUCCCCAGGGACGAAAUAUAAACCCCAAAGGCAUAUACCUACAUUGACCUACUUCCUCCAGUCACACCCUACCUGCCUACAGUUACCACCUGAUUAAUUCAUAUCAAUGGAUGAGUCCACUGGCCGGGUUACACUUCUCAAAAUCUAAUCAUUUCACCUCUGAAAAUUCUUGCAUUGCCUCACACAUGAACUUUUGGGAGAUGCUUUGUAUCUAAACUGUAAUAGUCACUGAUUUAGAACAUAUACCAAAACCUGGAAAACAUUAUCUAGCCUUACAAGGUGUUGCCAACAACCCAGAUGGCAUGAUUAUUGAGUCUUACAAACCCCAUUUCAAUGCUCCUUGA
rnacentral:lncRNA from 1 species